rnacentral:rRNA from 1 species
UACGAAGGGGGCUAGCGUUGCUCGGAAUCACUGGGCGUAAAGCGCACGUAGGCGGACUCUUAAGUCGGUGGUGAAGUCCUGGAGCUCAACUCCAGAACUGCCUUCGAUACUGAGAGUCUCGAGUCCGGGAGAGGUGAGUGGAACUGCGAGUGUAGAGGUGAAAUUCGUAGAUAUUCGCAAGAACACCAGUGGCGAAGGCGGCUCACUGGCCCGGUACUGACGCUGAGGUGCGAAAGCGUGGGGAGCAAACAGG